UACGGGGGGGGCAAGCGUUGUUCGGAAUUACUGGGCGUAAAGGGCUCGUAGGCGGCCAACUAAGUCAGACGUGAAAUCCCCAGGCUCAACCUGGGAACUGCGUCUGAUACUGGAUGGCUUGAAUCCGGGAGAGGGAUGCAGAAUUCCAGGUGUAGCGGUGAAAUGCGUAGAUAUCUGGAGGAAUACCGGUGGCGAAGGCGGCAUCCUGGACCGGCACUGACACUGAGGCACGAAAGCGUGGGGAGCAAACAGG
rnacentral:rRNA from 1 species